rnacentral:rRNA from 1 species
UCUCCUGGAAACGGGUGGUAAUACCGGAUGCUCCGCUCCAUCGCAUGGUGGGGUGGGAAAUGCUUUUGCGGCAUGGGAUGGGGUCGCGUCCUAUCAGCUUGUUGGCGGGGUGAUGGCCCACCAAGGCGUUGACGGGUAGCCGGCCUGAGAGGGUGACCGGCCACAUUGGGACUGAGAUACGGCCCAGACUCCUACGGGAGGCAGCAGUGGGGAAUAUUGCACAAUGGGCGCAAGCCUGAUGCAGCGACGCCGCGUGCGGGAUGGAGGCCUUCGGGUUGUAAACCGCUUUUGUUCAAGGGCAAGGCACGGUUUCGGCCGUGUUGAGUGGAUUGUUCGAAUAAGCACCGGCUAACUACGUGCCAGCAGCCGCGGUAAUACGUAGGGUGCGAGCGUUAUCCGGAUUUAUUGGGCGUAAAGGGCUCGUAGGCGGUUCGUCGCGUCCGGUGUGAAAGUCCAUCGCCUAACGGUGGAUCUGCGCCGGGUACGGGCGGGCUGGAGUGCGGUAGGGGAGACUGGAAUUCCCGGUGUAACGGUGGAAUGUGUAGAUAUCGGAAAAGAACACCA